UGGAGUCUAAAAGGAGGAGGCGAAUCGAACGCAAAAAUUAUGGGCCCAGUUUUUGAGAUCUAAAUGAAGUUCGAAAAUCGCCGUUAGGGGCGCUUGUGAUGAUUGGGAUACUAGAAAUACACAGCUUCUUAUGGCAAGAAUAACUAUUUUGUUAUAAAUUAUAGAGCCAAGUUAAUAUUUGGGCAUAUUUUUACCAGAGUUAGCUUUUAGAAACGUGGUUUUUCUAAUUGAGCAAUGUGCGUGGCUAAAAUUGUGAAUACAAAACCUUAAAUUUGAGUUUGAAAAUGCAUACACGACCGAAGAAACAUAUAAGCUGCUAAAAUAAAUCUUCCCUAGAACUGUUGUACAAAAAAGAUAGAAGUUCCAGCAACAAAUUUAUCACCAGUUCAACCUUUGAUUUGAUGUAAACAGUAAUUGUUUCUUGAUGAGAAAUGCGAAUGAAAUAGUUUAUGGUGUGAUUGUGUUAGUGUUUUAUUAAUAGUUUUGUUGAUGCAGUUUAAAGGUUCAUAGUUUUUCAUUAAAACAUUUGAAAUUGACAUGUUUACAUGCAGUUUAGUGUGAUACCAUUUUAAUAAACAUUAAAAUCUUUCGAACUAGUAGUGGUUUUAUGGCGAUUGACAGAUUGAAUAACGAAAAUUAAGAGUAUUUUAUCAGGAAUAACUUAAUCAUAAAUGGAAACUGAAGACGAACGUUACCAUUGCACCCUUUGAUCGGUGUUAUCUAUUCCAUAACUUUUUAUAGCUGAAACUAGAGAGUAGGUAUAUUGAGCUGAAACGUUUCCUGUGUUCAAUAGCGUUUUUUCUAGCGUUGAAUUGUAAGUUUUAAUGUCAUUAGCAAAGUUUUGCAAAUUGUCACUGUUUCGUAGACAAUUAAAUUCAAGAUAUAUUAUAUUCAAUGUCACCUAAUAAUUGUAAAGGUUUUUCUAUUGAUAUUCACUUUAUUAAUAUAAGGUAGGUUUGUAAAUAAAAUAUUAAUGAAUAAAUAAUGUACUCAGUUUAUUUCAAAAGCACAAAAAUACAGAGUUGUGAAUAUGUAUAUACGCUGACUUAUUUCAUCAUAUAAAUAUUUAUUUAGCAAUAUUAAUACAUUACAACUUUUGUUUCUAUUAACUAAUUCCACUAAAUUUAAUAAAUAAAAUAUACAAUAUAUAAAUUUAAUAUACAAUUUAGCACUUAGAUAUUAAAUAUCUAUAUGUACUAUGCCAAAAAAUAAAACAGGAACAUCAUAUUAUAUCAAGAACACAAAAAAUUACAAUUUAAAAAAAAUGCAUUCUAAAAAAAUACCUAGCUACAAUAUACCUACAUAUUAAUUUAAAGAGCUUAUUCAUAUUCAUAAAAACUAUUCUAAAUGGUUUAUAUACACAAUCAAAAGUAUCAACCACAAUACAAUAAUUUUCAAAUUAUUUCUUAUUAUUCCUCAAUGAAAAAGCGUCUUGCGACGGCUAGUCAAAAAUCUAAAUAAUUUUUAUAAUAAAUUUACAAUCUGACAUAUGCAAAUAUGUCAGUAGUAAUACGUAAUUUUACUUUAUGAAAUUACUACAUCUAGAACCGAUUUUAAAAAAUUGUACAAAUUUUCACCCCUAAUAUAACCCUUUUAAGAGAUAAAUUUUCAAAAAUCGACGUUCUUAGUAGAUUCCUAGGACAGAUUUUAAAAAGCUUUUACAGAAAAUUUCGCCCCCUCAAGCGAUAAAUUUCUGCUCGUUCACCCCUCAUUUCGCCCCCUUUUGGUGCGAAUUUCCAGAAAACGUUACAUAAUAUUCAAUUAAGUCACCAAAGAAACCUCUGUGCAAAAUUUCAUACUUUUAAAAGAGCGAUUAUAACAAGUUUUUCCAAGUUUUACCCUCUUAGGGUAAACAUUUCCAAAAAUUGCUUAUGUAUCUCAUUAUGAAUAUUCACUUUCAUCCCUUAAGGGAUAUCUGUGCAAAAUUUCAUACACCUAGGACAGAUUAAAUUUUUUUCUUAUACAAAAUUUACUCCUCAAUGCAUCCCCUUAGGGGACAAAUUUCAUC
rnacentral:lncRNA from 1 species